UAGAAUUCUAUUCUGUGUAUCUGAGUUUACAAUGUGGUGUCUCAGUGUGAGCUCAGAUCUGUCUGUGUUUUAUUUCAUUAGGAGGAAACUGCUCGGAAGAGAAGGAUCAGUGAUAAGGAUUUUAUGCUGUCACUAUCUGAGGGGGAUCUGCCUGUGGGGAUAUACAAAGGGCCUCUUCAGUACACAGUCUGGAGAGACAUGA